AUGCUGGAGGUAUCAGAAGUGCGAAUGCUGACGUGAGUAACGACAAAACGGGUGAAAAACCCGUUCGCCGAAAGACCAAGGGUUCCAGUCCAACGUUAAUCGGGGCUGGGUGAGUCGACCCCUAAGGCGAGGCCGAAAGGCGUAGUCGAUGGGAAAAUGGUUAAUAUUCCAUUACUUCUGUGUAAUGCGAUGAGAGGACGGAGAAGGCUAAAUCAGCCUGGCGUUGGUUGUCCAGGUGAAAGGAUGUAGGCAUGUAUCU
rnacentral:rRNA from 1 species